rnacentral:misc_RNA from 1 species
AAGUCGUAACAAGGUAACCGUAGGUGAACCUGCGGUUGGAUCAUUAAUGAAUUACUGAAGUAGCAAUACUUCUUAGGAGGGAGACUCGCAAGAGUUGACCUUCGCUGACCUUUGUGAAUUAUAGUUUGUACUGGGGACCGUGGUCCUUUGUACUCUCUAUUAAAAAGUCAUUAGAAACUAGUCUUAAUCAAUCAAUUAAUUUGAAACAACUUUUGACAACGGAUCUCUUGGCUCUC